rnacentral:rRNA from 1 species
GACGAACGCUGGCGGCGUGCCUAAAACAUGCAAGUCGAACGGUGGAGCAAUCCACAGUGGCGAACGGCGGAGUAAUACAUGAACAACGUGCCCUAAAGACUGGGAUAGUCAGGGGAAACCCUGGGUAAUACCAGAUGUGGCCAUCUCGCGGCAUCACGAGAUGAUCAAACGGUUUUUCGCUUUGGGAGCGGUUCAUGGCCUAUCAGGUAGUUGGUGAGGUAACGGCUCACCAAGCCGACGACGGGUAGCGGGUCUGAGAGGAUGAUCCGCUCGAGUG